GGGAGGGCGGGGGAGAGGGCGAGGGAGGCUUUCGGGCAGCGGGUCGGGGCGCAAGUGUCGGGAGCAGGCGCGGCUCAGCCCCGGGCCGGCUGGGGCUGUGCCGGGGCGGCGGGUGAACGUCCUCGGGCCGUGGGCGCGCCCUGCCCGGCUGCCUGCGCUCUCCGUCCGCAGGGCUGUGGGCGCAGCUGAGGCUGCUGGAGGACGGCGGAGGGCUGCGAGCGCCCGGGGAGACCGUGCGCCUCUCCUGCCGCGGAUCCGGCUUCAGCUUCCGGGACUAUGGCAUUCUGUGGUACCGUCAGGCAGCCGGCGGCGGUCUCGAGUGCAUUUCAGGGUGAUGAGAUCCAAGCGAUGAGGUCUACAGUGUGGUGGCAAGCAGGGAAUACUGGGACCUUACGAUGCACUUACAGCUCCAAUGCCUCCUAUAUUUACGUGGCCUGGUAUCAGCAGCGUCCCGGUGGACCGCUGCAGUACUUGCUGCAGAGCAAGGGCCGGGGAGGCUCCUACAGCCACACAUCCCCUUUUGCCCGCAAGAGGUUUUCCUGCCAGGCUGACGAGAGCUCCGGGAUGCUGAUCAUCACCGGGCUGGAGCUGGGGGACAGUGCGCUCUAUUACGGCACCCUGCAGGGACCAGAGUGAGAGACACUUGGGGCGUGCCUGAGCAACAUCAGCUUCCACCCCUCCUGCUGUCCCCUCCUGCACCUUCGCGGGAGUCACAGCCCAUCUCAGUGGUGAGUCAGUGAGUGGACUGUGCCUGUAUUCAGAGAGAGAGGGGUGUCAUCGUGGCUGGGUGCUGUCAGUGGUCCAGAGAAUAGAAUAGAAUAGAAUAGAAUAGAAUAGAAUAGAAUAGACUAUUUCAGUAGGAAGGGACC